rnacentral:rRNA from 1 species
GCGUUAUCCGGAUUUACUGGGUUUAAAGGGUGCGUAGGCGGAUUAUUAAGUCCGUGGUGAAAUCUUUGGGCUCAACCCAAAAAUUGCCAUUGAUACUAUUAGUCUUGAAUGUAGUUGAGGUGGGCGGAAUGAGUCAUGUAGCGGUGAAAUGCUUAGAUAUGACUCAGAACACCAAUUGCGAAGGCAGCUCACUAAACUAAUAUUGACGCUGAGGCACGAAAGCGUG